UCGCCAUUAACACUAGAUGAAUGAUGACUCAUGUUGAUUCCUAAGUUGUGGUUCUUUCUUGUUGGAGGUUUGAAAACAAAAGGUAAAAGAAACUAUGGUUGAAACUAGCCAAAAUAAACACUAAAAGAGGUGAAAGAAAAGGUAAAAAAACUAAUUGGUAAAAGGAAAUCUAUCUAGGUGGUUUGACAAUGGAAGGUAAAGGAAAUAAGCUAUGAAAGUAAGCAAGAAAUGUAAACUAGGCAAAUCCUAAGAGUGUUUGGAUGACCAUUUUCAAGGUUCCCAACAAAAC
rnacentral:lncRNA from 1 species